UGAUAAAUCUACUUCGUGUAUGGAUUUAGGUCUCGGGAUUCAAUUGUCUUGGUUUCUUCGUUUGUACCUACUUGAUUGUAUAUUCAUUCAAGCUACUCUUAUUCUUUCACUCAGCUUAUUGUUAUGAUCUGCACACACCGGGGCAAUAAAUACCAACUAUGCUCUGUGUUGUACAUUGCUCUGCAUUGAAUGCUUCAAUUUAAAUAAAAAUAAACUAACUCAAAAAGUAGCUAUUUUAAAAAGGAAAGGAGAAAUGUUUUUAUUAGGUUUAUUGUCAAAAGAUUACGGUCUUUACACCACGACGUUUGAAAGCUAACAAUUAUCUUGUUGCUCUAUAUAAAAGCUGAUGUAGGGACAACAGAAUGAUAGACUUAAUUAUCUUCAAUUAUCUUACAUGCUAAAGCUUACAUCAACUUUGUUUUAGUCUGUUAAACGGUGAAUCAAAUGUAUUAUAAGAAAAUAAUAUUUUCACUCAUUGUUA